GUUGUCAACUGCUGCUGAGUCUGGGUGUUGGAGAGUGUGGUGAGUUUUGCUCUUAUUAUCUCUGCCUUUUAGACUCCCAACUCUUAGCAAUGGAGGCUUUAAACUGACCCAUGGCCUAGGAUGGGCCUCAUCCAUUUGCAGCUGUGAAGGAGGAAAAGUGAAGAGUUGUGGUGUCAGUAGACUUAAGUCUAUGGAAUGUGUACUACAAUUUAAAAAAUACUUCAAUUCAUACAUAUAUGUAUGAAUUAUUAUACAUUUAUUAUAUAUACACAUAAUUGUAGUACACUUAUAUAUAUGUACACACACACACACACAUAUACAUAUUUAUUUAUUUAUUUGGUACUGCGGUUUGAACCUAGGGGCGCGAGCCACAUCCCCAGCCUUUUUUAAUUUUUAAAAUUUUGAGACAGGGUCUUGCUCGGUUGCUUGGGGCCUCACCAAGUUGCUGCGGCUGGCCUUGAACUUGUAAUUCUCCUGCCUCAGCCUCCAAAGUGGCUGGGAUUAUAGGCAUAUGCUACUGUGCCUGGCUUUCAAUUAAUAUCUUUACACAGUCUUCUUUUGUAUAUUCACAAAUUGUGGAAAUACUAGUUGUAUUGCUUUCAAAUGAAUAUGCAGAGGGGUUUUGCCACGGUUUUAAAAUUUUACUUCUAGUAAUAAGUUUUCUUUGGUAGUUUUGCUGGUAUUGAGUGUUUUAAUCUCUUAAAUUCUUUUUAUUUUAGGGGAAGUCAUAUUUUUAUUUUCUUAAGUUGCAUUUUUCUGACUCCAGUGAGGCUGAGCAAAUCUUUGUUUUUCACCCAUUUGUAUUUUCUUAUGUGAUUUGCUUGUUUUCAUUUUUUGUGUGUGUAUUUUUGACUGAAUUGUCUUUUUUCCUACUUAUUUAUAGUUUUUCUGAAUUGUAAGUAUUCAUUGCUGAUUGUACAUUCCAUCCGUCUGUUAAUUAUCUUUUAAUAUUUUCAUGGUGUUUGUUAGUUCAUAUAUGUUUAAUGUUUUUAUGUAGUCAAGGCCAUUAUUUUCACUUUUAUUUCUAGGUUUUCUCUUCCACACUAAACAUUCAUGAGAUUAUAAAUAGAGACCUUCUAUCUUUUAAACUUACAUUUUAUUUUUAAAUAUCUUAUUUUUUCAUCUAUCUGGAACUUAUUUUUAUCAGGGCAUGAGGAGGUGAUCUAAUGAAUAUCUGUUUUCACACUAUCAUGACUAUCCUUUCUCUACUUGUUUGAAAUGCUGCCUUUGUAAUAUUUUUAAUUCUCUUGUACUUGUAGCACUUUAUUUUGUUUCAGUGAGCUACCUUUCUACUCAUUACUAAAUUUGAUGCAUCUUUAACUUUUUUGUAUUUAUCAAGUUCACCGUUAUUUUUUAUUCCUGGUAUUGGGGGUUGAACCUACGGGCACUUUACCACUGAGCCACAUACCCAGCCCUCUUUAUUUUUUAUUUUGAGACAGGGUCUCACUAAAUUGCUUAGGGCCUUUCUGGGUAGCUGAGACUGGCCUUGAACUUAAGAUCCUCCUGUCUCAGCUUCCCAAGUCACUGAAAUUAUAGGCAUGUGCCAUAAUACCCAGCCUCCUUACUGUUAUUUAAACAAAAAUCUUCGAUUCUCCCAUUUAUUUUCAUUUAUAUGAAAUUUAGAAUCCGUUUUUUAAAUUCUAUAAAAUUUUCUUUAGAAGUUUGAUUAGCUUUAAAAAAUAUUCUAUAUUCUCAGUUAAAAUGAUAGUAUUUCUCCAAUUAUUUAGGUUUUCUAUUAUGUAGUUCAUGUAAUUCUUGAAUGUUUCUUGUUGGAUUUUUUUCAAAGUUUGUUGCUGUUAUGAAUAGUAUCUUUUUUUAUUUUAACUUUCAAACUGAUUAACACAGAUAAUUAGAAAUUCUGUUGAAUUUUGUGUUGAUCUGGUACUAGCCAUAUUUAUUCUCAUCAGUUCCAGAAAUUUCCUAAUUUAUUCCUUAUUUUAUUAGUAUUAGAAUUAGUUGACAAUAAUACUGUCUACAAAUAAUAAUUAUAUGUCUUUUCCUUUCUUAUAUGUAUAUGUCAUUAUAAGUUUUUCUGUAUUUAAUUUGCUAUUGUUGAUAGUAAAAUAUUUUCAGAGAUAGCAGGUUUUCUGAUUUUUUUUUGAAAAUUUAAAAAAAAAAUAUUUCUGCAUUGAGGGACUGGAGUUGUGGCUCAGUGGUAAGCACUUGCCUAGAAAGUGUGAGGCACUGGGUUUCAUCCUUGGGACCACAUAAAAUAAAUAGAUAAAAUAAAGAUAUUGUGUCCAUCUACUACUGAAAAAUAUUUUAAAAAUAUAUUUCUGCAUUGAUAUGAUGCUGACUGUAGGUUUCUGUCAUAUAUCCUUACAUCUCUUUGUAAGCUUUUCUUUUUAAAAUUGGAAUGACUAUUGAAAUUCAUCAAAGACAGUUUAAGUUCUAUUAAAAUUUGUAUAUAUUUUACUUUGAUCCAUUAUGUUGAAUUACAUUAAUGUACUCUAAAUAGAAUACAUAGAAUGAAUGAUAUUUGCUCGUAACAUAUUAUUGUCUUAAUAUUCUGUGGGAUUCAAUUUUCAAAUACCAUGUAUCAAUUCAUAAAUGAAAUUUGCUUAUGAGGUUCUGGUCACAUAUUGAUUGAUCUAAGACUCCUGUUCUUGUGUUUGUUCAAUCUCAGUUGAGGUUCCUGUGUUCUGCUCUAUUCUUCAUAGCAUUUUUCAUUUGUGUGUAUUUCUACUUUCAAAGAAUUACUCAUGAUUUCUUGUUGCCCAGGAAACUUUCUUCUGUUUUCCAAUGCUCCUUUGGUUUAUCUUUGUAAUAUUAGGAAAAUAUGGGUGUGAGAAUCAGUGGUCAUCUACAUUUAGUCUAGCAUCUUGAUCCAAUUUCAAUAUAGUUUCUGGUUUUUUUUAAUAUUUAUUUUUUAGUUAUUGGGGACACAACAUCUUUGUUUGUAUGUAGUGCUGAGGAUCGAACCCAGGCCGCAUGCAUGCCAGGUGAGCGCACUACCGCUUGAGCCACAUCCCCAGCCUUUGUUUUUUUUUUUUUUUUUAAUAUUUGUUUUUUUAGGUGUAGAUGGACACAACACAAUGCCUUUAUUUUUUUAUUUUUAUUUUUUUUACAAUGCCUUUAUUUUUAUGUGGUGCUGAGGAUCGAACCUGGGUCCCGCCCAUGCUAGGGGAGCGCUCUACCGCUGAGCCACAAAAUCCCGGUCCCCUAGUUUCUGUUUUAUUUAGGAAAAAAAUCUUCUGCUUUUAUAUCUUUUUGUUGUACUAAAUUUUAUUUUUCAGAUUAAUAGUUUUUUCAUUAAUUGUUUUGGAGUUUUUAGAUAAGCAAUUAUAUGCAAACAACAAUUUUGUUUCUUUUCAAUGAAGCUGUAUCUUCCUUUUUCUUUUCAUUUUUUAUUUCACUGGCUAGAAAUUCAAGACAAUGGGCUGGGGAUAUAGCUCAGUUGGUACAGUGCUUGGCUUGCAUGCACAAAGCCCUGGGUUCAAUCCCCAGCACACACACACACACACAGACAAAAAAAAAAAAGAAAGAAAGAAAAAGAAAUUUAAGACAAUGUUAAUAUUCAUGGCGAGAGAAUAUAUCCUUAUCACCAUGUCCAUAAUAUUUGUUGAUUUUUUGACAUUCUUUUGUUUUGGGUUUUAUCUUUGUUACCCUUAUUUCUAGAUUACUAAGCAUUUUUUUAAAAUUAGGUAUCAUGUUGAAUGUUUAUCAGAUUUUUUUGAGCUUUAAUCUAAAGGCCAGCCCCUUUGAAUUAAAGAAAGAAAUAAGAAAUAAAUGCAUUUAUUAGUUGAGGUAGGUCACUGUCAUUCUGUUGUCAUUGUAGAGCAGGAUGAACAGUCAGCUUUUUGUUGCUGUGACAAAAUACCCAAGAAAGUCAACUUAAAUGAAGUAAUAUUUGGCUAAUGGUACACACACACACACACACACAGAGAGAGAGAGACAGAGAUAAGGUAUAAUCUUUAAGGACAUGUCUCCAAGAACCUACUCCCUUUAGCUAGGUCCCACCUCAUACAACUUCCACCACCUCCCAAUAGUCCAUUAUCCAUGAGUGCAUCAAUGGGUUAACCCAUUGAUGAGCUCAAAACCCUCAUGAUCCAAUCACCUUCCCCAAACCCCUCCUCUGAAUAUUGUUGUAUUAGAGACCAAGCUUUCAACACAUGAGCCUUUGGGGACAUCCCAGGUCCAAACCAGAACAGUACUUAACAGUGUUUAGGAGAAUAAUUUAAAAAGUUAACCCUAGUGAUGAACCUAGUAGGAUAGUUUCCCAAACUGUGAAAGGAAUCAGGUUUUCUUGUUACCCAAAAAUAUGCUCACUGAAGGGAGAUCUCAAGAGCUCUGAUAUGGCCUCUAUGCUGCCACACUCAAAGUCUACAGCAUGUUUAUCAUUUGGACCAUGAAGUCUCAUAGUCUGUCCCAAGUACACGUCCAAUCUAAGAGGAAAAACUGCUCACAGCUAGUCACCUAUUAUGUUUUUUGUCCCCAUUAUUACUGCCCCAACACACAUGUAUAUAACAGGUUUCUAAAGGAUGAUUCAGCAAAAGGCUAAUCAAUGACCUUGCUCAAAAUGUGUUUUUGGUUGAUUCACAGUGCUCUCACAGUAAAGGAGAACUGAUAAAACUGAGCCAGUAAGAGAAUGGACAUGAAGAUCACAGGUAAAGUCAGGGAAAGAGAGAUCUUAAGAGGCCAAGUACAAGUUAAAGUGAUGAAAGAAAAACUAUGAGGAAAUAGGACAAAGAGAAGAACAGAUGUGCUGAGAAAAGACAGUUAAGUCCUAAGAGAUAAAGCGACCUUGGUUCCUGUGUAAUCCCAGCUCCAGAUCUCACGAGGCACCCGGGUGUGCUAUAGUUUCUUGCUUUUGGGCUUCUGUGAGAUCCCUCUUAGUCCCUACACCACUCUUUAUAUGUGUUAGCUUGGGCGUUCUCGAAAGCAAAAGACCUAGCUUAAACUAUUGGCAGACUUUAAAACUGUCUUCAUCACUGGUCAGUGGUUCUCAAUCUGCCUUCUUCUUUCUAGAAAACCUGGUAGAAUGGGCGUGUGAAUUUCUUGGUGCAGGACAGGAAUGUCCAGAGCUGGGGAACUUAAGGUGAGAUCUCUUCACUUUCACUCUCCUAAAGGCAGGGUUAUCUUCCAUCACCACAAGCAGGUUUCCUCUAAUGCUUCCAAGUCGUGAGCAAUUAACUAUUUACAAAUGAUGUUGAGUAGACUGUCUCCUACAUGUCCACUUCCUCUUUCAAACAGUCCAUGGUGAUAGUGUCACUCACUUAUCAGUUCAAUUGUUUGGUGGACAAAAAACCAAAGGUAUGAUUUUAUUGAAGGGAGUGGACAUAUUCUGGAGUCAAUCGUGUGGAGAAAGAGAAUACUCUAAGUGAUAGAAAUCAGCCCCAGGAGAUCUUCUAACACUCUAGAAUUCUUCUGGACCUGAAGCUGUCCUUCAAGAUUCAAUCUGUAUACUACUUUUUCUUGAAUUAGGACAUGGAGGAUGGAUAGGAUGUGGACAUACAAGCGUGAGAGGAAUGGCAAACAGUGUAACUGAAGGUGUGGAGGACUAUGGACACAAUAUAUACGGAAAACUAAGGUCGAUUCAGUUUGGUUGGGGUUCUUAGAGUACUUGAAUGGGGGAUGAUGCAUGUUUAAGGAGAAAGAUAAUUCAGGACUAAAGACUGCAUUGAGCCCUGGGUAGGCAAAGAGAUCCACCUGAAUUUCAGGAGCUGGAGAGUGGUUUAUCAGGGACCCAUAGGAAUAUCACCUUGGAAGUGCUUUGCCAUGAGAAUUAGAGUGAGAGGGAAAUGGAAGUCAAGAGACCUGGUGCAAGAUAAGAAAAUAGUGUAGUUUGAAUAAAAGGAAAAAAAAAAAGGGAGAAGAUGAGAAAGAACUUUAGAUGAAAGGCUCACAUGGGCCAUGAGAAGAAGCAGUCUGGUAACCCAGGAAGCUGACUGCUUAUGUGCAAGACCAUGGUGCCUUUUAGGAAAGUCAGGAAUACCAGCAGAGGGGAGGGAAAGAGGAGGAUGCAAUAGGGAGAGGAGAUCAUUCUGGAAUCACUGUAAGAAGCUCCAGAGAUUCAACUGAUGAGUUAACAUCAGAUUUAAACAUAUCCUGUCUUGGUUAGGGAAAGACCCAGAAAGGUACUUUAUUGUCAUGAUUAAAUGAGACUGAACAAUUAUGUCUGCACUGGAAAAUGUGUUAGUCUGUGUCUUUCUACAUAUUUGUUACUAAAUUCUUCAAUGUGUUUGUAAUUUGUAUAAAGUUUUUUUUUUCUUUUUUUUUAAAAAAACCCUUUCUUUUAUUUUAAGAAAAUUAAGCUAUCCUAUGGCCUACAGUCUUGGAUUUUUAUUUCAUUGUGAUGGUUUUCUAAUCACAAGUUUUCUGCACAUUAUCAAUGUAUAACUCCAAAACAGAAAAAGCUAAGAUUUUCUGUGUUAGUACGUUGGCUCUCUGAUAAGACAUUCUUUCCACAAUGACAUUUGAAGGUUCUGUGGAGGUGACCAUUGGGACAGUAAUUUUGAGUGAAUUUAGAGUUCUAAUUACUGUUUUAUUUAAUUGCAAGUGGAUACUAUGGAAGAAAAAAAAAGCCAUCAACAAAAGAAAUAAUUGUUCAAAGAAUUACAUCUGCACUGCAUUCUCUGUCAGAAAUUUGUCAUUAAAAAUGUGUUUCUUUAACAGUGACUCAAAGCAGCUGAUGAAAUACAAGAGCAUGGAAAGUUUCAAAUCCCAGUGCAAAUUUGGAUUCAUCAAGGACCAUUUGCCAGAGAGUGGAGUCAAUGGCAAAAGAGCUUCUACCGUUUCUCCCAUUCAUUAACUGGGUUUAUACUUAGGUUCAGGUAUUGGCAGUUUUAUUUCCAUAGGUGGGUAUUUUCCACUUAAACAUUUCCUUUUCAUAAUACUUUGGAUGUCCCUGGAGUAUUAUUACUAUUUGACUUUUCCCUUUAGCAAUGACUCCAAGUCUUGUGUUUCUCCAUUCAACAGAGUGGUUAGGGAAAAUAAAAAUAAACCAUAGAUAGCUCUUUAAAAGAGGUGAAAAUCCUAAAUGCUAUUCCUGGGAUGUCUGAGCCACUCUCAAAGGCUGGAGUGUGAGAAAUAGCAGUUCUUGAGAUUAAAUCCAAAUAUCUUCUAGAUUUUUGGAAACCACAGAGAUCAAGCUAGUCUGAAGGCCACCGGGGCAAAUAUUACCAAAGAAGAAGACCAUAGGAAAAAAUAGAACUACCGUAUGACCCAGCAAUCCCUCUUCUGGGCACAUACCCAAAAGAAAUGAAAUCACUCCCUCAUAAAGAUAUCUGCACUCACAUGUUUGUUAUAGCAUUGUUUCCAAAAGCCAAGGUAAGGAAACAACCUAAGUGUCUGUCAGUGGAAGAAUGGAUAAAGAAACUGUGGCACAUAUUCACCGUGGCAUAUUAUUCAGCAUUAAGAGAAAUGAGUUCUUGCCUUUUGCUCCAAAAUGGAUGAGCCUGGACAACAUUAUACUAAGUGAAAUAAGAUAGACACCCCUCCAAAAUUCAUUGCAUAAUCUUACCUACAUACAGAAUUAAAAAAAUCAAAUAUACAGAGAUAGAGAACAAAUAGUGGUUGAGAUAUUGAAGUGGAGCAAGGGAGAAAAUGGGGAGUUGAAGGUCAGAGAAUGGACACUCUAGAGAUCUAACUUACAGCAUGAGUUGGUAAAAAAAAUUGUUCUGUACUAAUGAUUCAAAAUUAAAAUGAGUAGAUUUUAGUUGUUCUUGCCACCAAAAGCAAAACAAGCAAACAAAGGCAAUUAUGUAAGGUGGAUAUGUGAAUUUGCUUCACUGUAGUAAUCUUCUUACUUCUGUAUGCAUCUUAUAAUAUCAUGUUCUAUAUCUUAUAUAUACACAAUUUAUUUUAUAUUUUAAAAGACCAUAAACUGACUGCAGUGGCACACGCCGGUAAUCCCAGCGGCUCAGGAGACUGAGAAAGGAGGAUUGCAAGUUCAAAGCCAGUCUCAGCAAAAGUGCUGUGCUGAGCAACUCAGUGAGACCCUGUCUCUAAAUAAGAUACAAAAUAGGGCUGGGGAUGUGGCUCAGUGAUUCAGUGCCCCUGAGUUCAAUCCCUGGUUACCGCUACCUCACCCCCACCCCCACAAAAAUAACCUUCUUGAAGACCAUAAAAAAAAAACCUUCUUGAAACUGGCAAUGCUGAUGAAACUGAAGGCAAUAGAUAGGGUGUGAGGGAGGGAGGAAUGAAGAUGAAGUAAGAACUCAGAUUUGAACUGAUGCUGUCUAGAAGAGGAAAAGGCAGCCACCCCAGCAAUGAGAGUAUUGAGCAUCUAUUAUGCAUGGGGACAGAUUGCCAAAGGCUGCAGGAAUUUAUGUCUUGAGGGCACCUAAAAUCUCUUGAGGAAACAAGGCACAUAUAUGGUAAAAUGAUUUAAAUUGUAAGGGAAUGAGUAACAGAAAAAUUACUAGCAGCUACUCAGCACAAGAAAAAAAGUUUCAAUCAAUUAUCAAAGAGUUGUGGUUGAGGAGAAUGUGAGGUUAAGUUCAGAAAAAAAAAAGCUGGGGGCUGGGGAUGUGGCUCAAGCGGUAGCGCGCUCGCCUGGCAUGCGUGCGGCCCGGGUUCGAUCCUCGGCACCACAUACCAACAAGGAUGUUGUGUCCGCCAAUAACUAAAAAAUAAAUAUUAAAAAAAAAUUCUCUCUCUCUCUCUCUCCCCUCUCUCUUAAAAGAAAAAAAAAAAAAAAAGCUGGGAUUCCAGGAUUAUGUGAUGUCUCCAAAUGAACAAAUUCAAAGUGGAAUUUCUGAUUUUCCCAUUUCCUAAACCAUUUUAUUCCACCCCUUUUCCCAUCUCAGUAAGAAACUCAUUCAUAUGCCCAGUUGUUUAAGCAGGAACUCUGAGGGUCAACAUUUAUCCCUUUCUUGCCCUUACUCCCUCACCAGCAGGCCCUGAAGAGUUCACCUACAAAAUCUCUCUCAUGUGCACUUUCUAGCAUUGCUAAUCCACUCCAGCCAGCCACCAUCUCUUGCCUGGAAAUUGAAAUAGCCUCUUAGUGGGUUUUCCUUGCCUCUUCCCUUCCCUUCUCUUCCCUUCUUCCUUUCUUUUUCUUUUUUGUCUCCUCUAGUCAGUUCUUCAGUUGAAGAAGUUUAAACAUUAUAAAUCAGAUCACAUCAAGGCACCCUCUUGAGCUCUCCAGUGGUUUUUAUUGCACUUGGAAAGGACCCCAGCUAUGUCUUUGGCUUAGACUCCAACUAUAUCUGUGACACUGCACCUUUCCAUCUCAUCCUGAGCAUGGAAAAGGACUCCAAUUACAGCAGACUUUUUGUACUUUUUGAAAUGCCUUCUCCCUUGCCCUUGAUCUUUCUCUAUGCUUUGUAGCACUUUGCCCAGGUUUGACUCCUCUUUCUUCUUUUUUAUUUUUGCUUUCAGAGCACCUUUUCAGUACAUUCCAUUAUUGGUGUAUUUGUCUAUUUCUGGUGUGUGUCCUCAGCCACUCAUUAAGCUGUAAGAAUGCUGAGGGCAGGAGUUGUAUUUGUUUUGCAACUGUUGUAUAACCUGUAGCUAACUCAGGGCUUGGCACAGAGGAGGGCUACCUUCUUUUGAAUAAGUGAGUAGACAUAUGACAAGAUUGACUGGGGGAAGUCUCAACUGCCAGUAGACUUCAUUGCAUGCACAGCUAGGAAUAAGGAGAAGCCAUUUUUCUUACCAGAAUCAACUCCAAAUGACAAACGGGACUGACUAUCAUAGUCUUUGAAGGGCAUUUCAACUGAGACCCUAACUUAUGUAAAUGAUAAAGGAAUUCAAUGAUGACUGAACCAUGCUACUAAGAAGGAACUGCAUAGUUUAAUUUUAGAGUAAUCAUUAUGUCUUCAGGGGAUACAAUUCUGAUGAUGACAACCACUUCCUCUUCCCCGAGGAACUGCUGAGAACCAUUGCCCAGUGUGGCUCAGGGGCGCGGGUUUCUGUUCUGGCCAGAUCUGAAUUCCUCUUCUUCAAGCUUCUGCUGACCUCCCUUUGAGUCCACAUCUGGACCUUAACCUCCUCUGCCUGCUCAGGAAUCAGUUACUUCCUUGCUUCACAGUCUUUAUUAGUUAUUAUUUGCAGACUGUUUUCAGUUUCUGAAAAUGUGAUUGCUCAAAUUUCACUUUAUGUAUCAUCUGAAUCAGUUGAUAUUUAUAAAAGUUGGUUUCCCUCUAAUAUAUGCUGCAAAAAGCUGCCUGCCUAUUUGAAAUCUACAUCUGAGUUAUUUGCCUCAGUAAUAAUAAUGAUAAUAUCAACAACAAUAAUGGCAUAACCACUAUUGUGUUUUAUUGUGUGGAAGUUAUUGUGGUGACUCCUUUAAGUAGCCAAUUAAAUCUGAGGCAUACAGAAUGCAUUAAGCAGGAUGUGAUAAGUACUGUAACAUGCCAAGUCCAUGUAGUUUAAUAGUCAAGGGUAUGUACUCCACAGAGUUAUUCAGGGAUUCAGGCUCCUUCCAUAUGACUGUGUUGCCAUGUCUAGGGUCUCAGAUUCCUGCUCUGGUGGCAGCUGGAAAAAGAAAGGAGGGAGGAUGGGGUGUGUGUGUCACACAGAAGGAUGUAGAGUCCAGGCCCAGAAAUGGUAUAUCCCUCUGAUCAAAUUCUAUUGGCCAGAAAUCAGUUACAUUGCUCCACCUAAAUCCAAGGGUGAUUAGGAAAUCUGGUCUCAUUAUCCUAGAAAGGGAGGAAAUACUGGUGAAUAUCUAGAUAGUCUCUGCCACAGAGAUUAAAUGCCCUUUGUACAAUAAGUAAGUGCAGAUCUGGGACUCAAACCCAUGGCAGAUGGACUCCAAGGCCGAGGCCAAGGCCAAGCUCUCAACUGCGCAUCUAUACUUCUUCCCCAACCAUUUAUUUAUUUAUUUAUUUAUUUUUAAGUACGGGGUUGCUGCCACACCAUGAAGGUGGUUCAUAAUCUGAUCUCUGUCAGGAAGACUCACUACCUGGGUAGAGAACAAUGAGACAUUUACUACUUCUUUGAAAGAACAAGAAAAAGAAUUCUGUGACAUUUCCUGUGUGAAGCCAUAGAACCUCUAGUCACAUCAGCAACUCAGGGGUCUUUGUUUCUGUUAAACCAAUUUCUGUUAGAAAUCAUGAGACCACAUUGCACGAAGGACUUUAAGACUUUACCCUGUGGCCAGCCUGCUCAUGAAAUUCUUAGUUGACCACCUUUAAAAGGUGAGUGACACCUUCCCACUGCACUUAUGGAGAGGGCCUUAUACUUGUGUAAUGGGCAUAACUUUAUUCUACAAGCUCAAGCGUGCAAGAAAUACACUUUAAAGUUUUCUUUAACUCAAAUUACCAUAUUUUGUUAAUUCUAACAUACACUCUUUUAGUAUGUUAUCCUCUCUGAAAUCAGGAUCAUAUUGAUGGCAUUUUUGAAUUGCUAUUGGUUGAGUGGCAGUGCACAUAUCUGGCUCUGCCUGCCCAUUUGUAAACUGGGCCAUGGGUAUUAAUAUUGUUGUCCCUUCAGUUGAACUAUGAACAUUGUUGCUAUUACCUAGGUUGAGUAUAGUUGCUGUUUGAAAUGACUUUCAAGGCCUAAGUUUCAGUAGCAAAAUGAAAAGUUAUAGUUUCUGAACAGGAAAGUCCAAAAGCAGAGUGGUGAGCUGUCCAUGCGAUAUUAUUAAAGCAAUUUUUUUUAGGUUGAAGAGCAUAAUCUAAUAAUUUUUAUUCAAAUUACUUGCAUUAAAGCAAACUUUUUGUUUCAAGGAAUCAUUUCAAAGCAAAACUGUCAUACAGGGUUAGAUUUGAAGUAGAUUGGUCUAAAUAUAUGAAACUAUGACAUAUUUUGUUACUGAGUUAUGUAAAAAAGUAUUGCUUGCUUAGUACAUGCCAAGCAAGAAUGUACCCACAUUAAACCCCUUGGAAUGGGCAACAUCUUGGAAGAAAACCCAGACCCAAUAGUGGAGACAUUGUAAGAAACAUUUCAUUACCAACACAGAAUCAUAGUGUGGAGAAAAAUUGAUUCAGAAGAGUUAGACUCUAAAUGAGAAGACAUUUCAGGAAUUUCUUAAUUUAUUUUCCUUUUUAUAUAUGCACAGGAAUGACAAGUAAUAAAAAUCUAUGUCCCAACAAGUCUAAAAGAGAUAUUUCAGCAAAUACAAAAUAAAAAUUUGAAGUGAUGAGAAAGCACUGUUUUUUAGAUUAAUUGCAGACAUCUUUCUUUCUUAGUGGUACAAAAAUUAAUGAUGCAUUUUACAAUCAAUGGCAUCUUGGAAUCAAUGAAAUAGCUUGAGCUCCCAUUCCUUUGGGUAUUGGAAAUUAAGUUUCAGUCAGCUCAGUUCCCCCCUCCUCUGUGAUUACACAGUGUUUUCUGGGGCUUACAUAUGGCCACCAUUUGAACUGAAGACAGUGUAUAUGUUGGGUGUCAUCUUCCCUCUGUACAGGCCACCCCUGAAACGGCUACUAUUCUAUCUGAUCCUGGUCAUCAGGACACAUAGGCUAAUGCAUUGCUGGUAUCUUUUUGUUCUCAUGGUAGAGUUCUUUCAGAGCUGGAUGGCUCUUUCUGUUAUUCUGUGUCCUUCUUGGAGGCAUCUUCCAGUGCACAAGAAUUCUUUGAGACUUCUAAACGCCUGGGUCACUCAGUGGGCUCUUGCUAACAUGAAAAUCUGUUUGCUUCUACAUGGUGCUGGGUGUUGAGUGCUGGCAGUAUUCACUCCUCCUGAGCUACUCUCGGGCAUUCAGAAUCCAACUUCUCUUCUGCGUCAUUUUGGAAUGGGAAAAUCCAGCCGGCUGCUUUGAGUUGCUUAAAUCUUUCAUGCCAUCUUUUCCACUGUGGCAUUUGCAGCAUCUGUGACUCUACCUGGGACAAGGAUACUUCUCAGGGCCUGUGGAGUUUGUGGCUUUUUUCUUCCCAUCCCUGCAUGGUCAAGGGUGGGACCAGGCUGCAGGACCCACGGCCAGGGACCCACACAUGUCCAUCCUCUCUCAGCUUUCUUUCCAGCUCUUUCCUUUAUCUGUCUGGGCAAUGUUUUCACCUCUUGAGAGUGAACAAGUCAAUCUCUCACUUCAUCUCCUCAAUUCUCCCAACCUUCUGUGGUCUUGGGCUUUAGAACCCAGGCCAAGAACAGUCUCAUGAUUUUCCCUAUCUUCUGAACAAGUGUCCUAGAAAACACAGCUGAUUGAAAGGAAGAAAAUUUCUGAUGACAAGAGACACGAGGAAGUCACACUGAUUAACAUUUCAAAAUAAGAUCUUAAUUCAGGUUCUCACUGUGCCUACCCUUUCACCCUGAUUUGAACAGGUAAGUACUCUUAGGUGCAUUUCUUAUAUGGCUGGUUUUCUGCUCUCCACUUUUGCGGACUGGACUGAUUUCAGUGAUGCCUCAGGUGUGUCCUCCAUUUAUUUUCUCUUAUCACCUCAGAAGCCAGAGUGGCAUUUUCUUCCACCUCCUUUUCUUUUUAAUAAUAUGGGGUUUAUAACUUUUAUAAGGAAUCAGUCACAUACAGACAAGGAGAAGGAAGGGGAAGAAAUCACGUGAAACCACACUACUCUAAGACAACCCCUGCUGGAUGAUAUUUGUUUAUCUCUCUAGUUGGUUUUUACUUAUUUGGCUACUGUAUAUUUUAUAUGUAGUUAUGUAUAUUACAUCAGACUUAGACCUGUAUAUCUUGCUUAGUUCAUGCAGCAUGAUGACUAUUUUCCCCUGUUAUUAUAAAGUCUUCAGAAACAAGAAUUCAAUGAUGUAGUAGAGUUUGCUUAACCAUUUUCUUAGUGUUGUAUACAUUUAGCUUAUUCUCACUGCCAUUAAGGCAAAUAACUAAUAGCAUUGUGAUUGAUCUCUUUGUGCAUGAUUUUUUCCAAUGUUUCUGAUCAUUUUUUUGAUCAUGUUUUCUGAUCAUUUUUUUUGAGAUAGUCUCCCAAAAUUGGGAUUAGUAAAAGAGUACCAUUUUAUUUUAUUUUAUUAUUUUUGGUAGUGCUGGGGCACUUUACCAUUGAGCUACAUAUCCAGCUCUUUUUAAUUUUUGUUUUGAGACAAGGUCUCGCUAAGUCACCAAAGCUGGCCUUGAACUUGUGAAUCUCCUGCUUUAGCCUCCAGAAUUGCUAGGAUUACGGGUGUGUGCAACCAUGUUUGGCAAAAGACUGCCAUUUAAAAAAUAAGGCAUUUCUGUAGACUUCAUGCAGUAUCUCUUCUGUAAAUAUGGAAACAUUUAGUCUGGAUAUCCUUUAUCAUAUCAGGCUGCACUUGAUGUUUCUGGUGGUAAGACAUCCGAUUGUUAUGCAUGCAAGAACAAUGUACAUCUCCAUAAAAGUAAAAUCAAUGGUACAAAAAAUGUAAGGCCUCAGCUUUGCCUGUUCUUUCUCCAUUCAUCAGUAGUUACGGUAACACUCAUCCAGGAGUGUAUAUAUUGUUUGGUCGCAAGUGUUCCCCAAAGUGCUUUCUUUUACCUCCAGUCUCUGUGGAUCUAGUUGACUUUUUCUGGUCUCAUUAUAAUAAUCUGGCAUUUAUCCAUAGGAGGAGAUGCACAGUCCUUACAUGUACAAAGUGAGCCUUGAAUAGUUACUUCUCAAGUUUUAUUCUUAGCUUUUAAUCUAAGCUGUUGAUUGAUGACCUAUGGUAUUAGGACUAGAGGAUUACAUUGACCAUAAAGUGUGUGGUGGAUUUUGUUUUAAACAAACACCCAAAGCUGAUGCAUUCCAGUCGUUGCCCUCUCCACACAGGUACGCUAGGUGGCUGAGCUUUUGUUCCAAGAACAUAUCACCUUCUCUCUUGACAUCAGAAACAGUCAUCAGGAUCUCUGUGGCAUUCUUUUGAAUAUCUUCUAUGAAGAACAAUUAAUUCUUUGAGGAAGAGGAUCUCUUGAGACUUUCACUACUAUUCAGAAUUGAAUCUGAGAAGACAGUGGGGUGAGUAGGCAGGUGGACAAUAUUUAAAUAAAAUAAAACACUAAUGGUCUAUUAUGAAUCAAGGAGACCAAUUUUCUUGUAUGACUGUUAAGUAGCACAAGAUAUGAGGACGGUUCUCCAAAAGUACAGAGUUGGAUUUUAGCUGCCGCAGGAUCUUUGGGAUAUACAAAUCAAUUAAGUUGUGCAUGGGUUGAAAUGCUUAUUCUCCAAAGAGUAUGUUUAUUUAAUCUAGGCUUAUUGCUUACUAACAGUAUUGUUUCAAUAAAAAUGUUUAUGUAUUAUUUUGCUAGUGAGAUGGCACACACUAUAAUGACAGUUACUUAGGAGGCUAAGGCAGGAGGAUCACAAGUUCAAAGCAAUUUAGUGAGACCUUUUCUCAAAACAUAAAAAUGGCUGAGGGUUGCAGCUCAGUGGUAGAGCGCCUCUGGGUUCAAUUCCUAGUACUGAAAAAACACACAAAAAAGUUUAUGCAUUUUUAAAGAAACUCUAGUCUGAGAUUAAGAAGAAAAAUUAAAUCUAUGUAUUGAAAUUCAUAGGCUUAAUUAAUUAUAGCAGUCUAGAGAAGAUCCUGCCUUUUUAAAAAAAUAAUUUUAUUUAUUUUAAACAGGUUACAGAUUCAUCAUAGAGGAUUUGGAAAAUUCAGAAAUUUCAUCAUUCAGAUAUAUUCCUCCAUAAUCUAUAUUAUUAAUAGACUUAUUUUUUAAGAGCAGUUUUAGAUUCCCAACAAAAUUGAGCAGAAGGUACAGAGAUAUCCUGCAUACUCUUCCCACACAUGCAUAGCCUCCCUGUUGUCAACAUCCCCCACCAGAGUGGUACAUUUGUUAUAAAUGAUGAAUCUACUUUGACAUGAAGUUAUCACUCAAAGUCCAUAGUAUACAUUAGGGUUCACUUACGUACUUCUUAAUGUGUUUGGACAAAUUUAUUAUGACAUAUCUACCAUUAUGGUAUCAUACAGAUAGAUCUACUGUUCUAAAUCUCAAGGAGAUUUAGCUGGUCAUAAGGGAAGCUCGGGAGCUGGAUUGACCUUUUAGAGUUGUCCCAAAUUAAGAUAGUGGGCGGGCUCUUGUAUCCUUAAAUCAGAGAGUCACUGGACCCCCAGAGGAAGCUAAUUUUGGAUGAGUCUAUUUCCUAGGGCCAAGAACAAUUCCCAAAGAGGGACACAGCUGUGUGCUGUAUUCCCAGCAGCUGUGGAGGGAUAUGUGUUCCAAAGAGCAAAUUUGGUCAAAGGCUGCCAUUUUAUUAUCCACUACAAUAUCAUGUAAAAAUCUGGAUCUAGAGUACAUGCUGCUUCUCAGCCUACUCACUAUUUGAUGACCUCCCCACCCUGUUUCAUUAACUUCUCUUUGAAAACAUUUUAAAUAACAAUUUAAUUACAUGGAAAUAUCAUUUAUUUAACUAUUAUUACUGAGCAAUUUUUGACAAACUUUCAUUGCAAUAAAUAAUAUUGUGAUGAACAUCUUUGUGUCUUUGUAAUGUACAUUUAACUGAGUGUUUACUGCUGACGAGGUCAGGCCAGUAUUUUUCUUACCUUCCUCAUGGAGUUUUUUGAGAAAUAAAUGAGAAAACGCAUGUAAAUUAUGUAACACUUUUACUAUCCUCUUAACAAUUUCAUGAUGCAGAGACUAGUAUCAUCUCCAUUUUGCAGAUGAGGAAACUGAGGCACAGAGAGAUGAAGUAGCUCAUCUCAGUGAGCACUAGAGUAUAGGCAUUAUAAAUUCAGAGCUUAAGCUAUACAUAUUACUGCUUCUUUCAGCCUGCUUUUCUUGGUCUUUUCCUAAGCUUAUAUCCUUAGAAGGAGAAUUCCAUGGUUAAAGGGCUUGACUUGUUUUAAAGCUCAUGGUAAGAAUUGCCAGAUUAUUUUCCAGAAGCAGUGAGACCUUCUAUUAGUAGAAUCUGGUUUUAUUUUACCAGAGUCAACAACAAAGAACCCAAAUCCUUAAAUAGAAACAUGAUAAGCAACAAGUAAUCCAAUUUCUUGCCUUCCAUCAGGCAUUAUGAACCUGGAUGGCUCUUAAGCAGGGCUUUCCUUUUGCUUGUUAGCAUGGACAAUUAUUUCAGGAUCAUCUUCCAAGUGUUAAAAUGGAUCACCUACAUUUCAGAGGAUUUUCCUCUGUGCAAUGAAUGCAUGACUAAGGGCAGGGGAAAGGCCUGGAUCCACACUUUGACCUGAUACAGCCGGGACUGUGUAAAGCCGUAAUGGAGAACCUUGCAGAACAAAGUCCUCCCAGAACAGAGAUGUGAUUUUUGACAACUGGAACAUUAAAAAAAAAAAAAAAAAAAUUAAGGGGCUCUUGCUUAAUUUUGGUUGAAGUGCUUAAAGUGAUAAGCACUUACUGAAGUCUCUUUUUCUCUCUCCACUCUAUCAUGCGCUUGGAAACAGUGACUUUCCAUACUGGAGGGAAGUUUGGUCAUGUGACCCCAGACCUCCUUAUACAGGAGAAGGAGCUUGAAGCCACUGCCAGCUUCUGGGGGGGUGGGGGUGGGGGUUUCCCUCUUAGGUGGGGAUACAGGUUGUGGGGAGUGUCCUGUUUCUGACAGUCAAGGUCAGAGGAACUCUUCAGGCAACUGGAGUUGUUAUUAUUAUCAUUAUUUUAUUUUAUCACUAUCUCAGAUUGCUUCUUCCUUCCAAUAGCUUAAUAUCUAGUUUAUUUCUAAGUUCUAAGAGAUUUCUUUGGAACAUCAAGGACUUUUUUACUCAAUUCUGGCCUUUGGCAUGUAUCAAACCUCUCCAAGUUCCAUUCCUUAUAGAUUGUCAUGAGGCUUAAACGACCCAAAGAAUAUAAAAUGUGUAAUGUUUCCACAGAAUAAGCACACAAUAAAUACUGACUUUGAUUUUUUCCUUUUCAGAUGACCUCUGCACUGGCGCCUUUCCAGAAUGGUGUAUAGUUUUGUGACCUUUCGAGCCUCAAUUUCCUCAUCUGAAAAAAAAAUAUAGAUUGUACUUUACUGUAUAUUCACCACACAGGGUUUUAGUGGGGAUCAAAUGAGGUAAUCCAUCUGAAGCAACUUGCAUAGCACCUGGCUCAGAGCAGACAGUCAAUAAUUUGUAGCUGGGAUUACUUUAAAACCUGUUAAUGUGCUUUAAGUCAGUUGUUGAAUUGGUUGGGCUGUCUGAGGGAAUGGAUCAUAUGCACUUGAUUAAUUUUUAGCCCUGUUGAAUUUAUUUUUCCCACUGGCUUUAUUUAGG
rnacentral:lncRNA from 1 species